rnacentral:rRNA from 1 species
AGAGUUUGAUCCUGGCUCAGAUUGAACGCUGGCGGCAGGCUUAACACAUGCAAGUCGAGCGGUAACAUUUCUAGCUUGCUAGAAGAUGACGAGCGGCGGACGGGUGAGUAAUACUUAGGAAUCUACCUAGUAGUGGGGGAUAGCACGGGGAAACUCGUAUUAAUACCGCAUACGACCUACGGGAGAAAGGGGGCAGUUUACUGCUCUCGCUAUUAGAUGAGCCUAAGUCGGAUUAGCUAGAUGGUGGGGUAAAGGCCUACCAUGGCGACGAUCUGUAGCUGGUCUGAGAGGAUGAUCAGCCACACCGGGACUGAGACACGGCCCGGACUCCUACGGGAGGCAGCAGUGGGGAAUAUUGGACAAUGGGGGCAACCCUGAUCCAGCCAUGCCGCGUGUGUGAAGAAGGCCUUUUGGUUGUAAAGCACUUUAAGCAGUGAAGAAGACUCUGUGGUUAAUACCCACAGACGAUGACAUUAGCUGCAGAAUAAGCACCGGCUAACUCUGUGCCAGCAGCCGCGGUAAUACAGAGGGUGCAAGCGUUAAUCGGAAUUACUGGGCGUAAAGGGAGCGUAGGUGGCUCGAUAAGUCAGAUGUGAAAUCCCCGGGCUCAACCUGGGAACUGCAUCUGAUACUGUUGAGCUAGAGUAUGUGAGAGGAAGGUAGAAUUCCAGGUGUAGCGGUGAAAUGCGUAGAGAUCUGGAGGAAUACCGAUGGCGAAGGCAGCUUUCUGGCAUAAUACUGACACUGAGGCUCGAAAGCGUGGGUAGCAAACAGGAUUAGAUACCCUGGUAGUCCACGCCGUAAAACGAUGUCUACUAGUCGUUGGGUCCCUUGAGGACUUAGUGACGCAGCUAACGCAAUAAGUAGACCGCCUGGGGAGUACGGCCGCAAGGUUAAAACUCAAAUGAAUUGACGGGGGCCCGCACAAGCGGUGGAGCAUGUGGUUUAAUUCGAUGCAACGCGAAGAACCUUACCUGGUCUUGACAUAUCUAGAAUCCUGCAGAGAUGCGGGAGUGCCUUCGGGAAUUAGAAUACAGGUGCUGCAUGGCUGUCGUCAGCUCGUGUCGUGAGAUGUUGGGUUAAGUCCCGCAACGAGCGCAACCCUUGUCCUUAGUUACCAGCGGGUUAAGCCGGGAACUCUAAGGAUACUGCCAGUGACAAACUGGAGGAAGGCGGGGACGACGUCAAGUCAUCAUGGCCCUUACGACCAGGGCUACACACGUGCUACAAUGGUAGGUACAGAGGGCAGCUACACAGCGAUGUGAUGCGAAUCUCAAAAAGCCUAUCGUAGUCCAGAUUGGAGUCUGCAACUCGACUCCAUGAAGUAGGAAUCGCUAGUAAUCGCGGAUCAGAAUGCCGCGGUGAAUACGUUCCCGGGCCUUGUACACACCGCCCGUCACACCAUGGGAGUUGAUUGCACCAGAAGUGGAUAGCCUAACCCUCGGGAAGGCGUUCACCACGGUGUGGUUGAUGACUGGGGUGAAG